GGAGGGCAGGCUCAAGUUAUCAUUCGGUGUGGAGAGGGUCUCAGAAUGACGUGGAACUUAGUUGUACACAAUAAAAGAGAAUAUCAUUCUGAAGGCAAUAAAGAGCAUUGCAAUACCUGAUAAAAUUCUGACUUCUGCUUCAUUUCCUGUUCUUGAGCUGGCUGGAUUUCGAGCGGAGCAUCGGUAAAUUCCAAUGUCCCCUGGUUGGAGUCGGCUGAUCUGCAGUGCUCCAGAGGGAUAGGAAUACAGAAUUCACAUCCCGCAUAUUUUCUGAAUGAAACGUUACAAAGCCCAAACAACAAGGAUUUUCAUAAACAGAGAAACUUGACAAGACAUUUUUCUGUUCAUUUCAAAGGUCAGUGAAACAAUAAUUUAUUGGGUUAUAAUUGUUUCAAACUUUUAAUUGAGC
rnacentral:lncRNA from 1 species